ACUAAAUCCACCCAAAUCUGACUCGUGGUGCUGCAGAGACCUUGCUGGGCUGGAGGAGCACAGGGCCAGGAAAUCAUGAACCUUGGCUGCUGCCAUGACAGUGAUUUCAGCUCCAAAAUUGUGAAAUCUGGGGCAGGAUCUUGAGAGAUCUCGGAGAUGCGUAUUGCAGCGUAGCAGCGAAGCGGCUCAGCUCCUUCCGCAGAGAAGCAGCAGCAGUUCCCAAUCCACUGCUGGCACUUCUCCCUCCCUGGGGUGGUGCUGUGCUCUCCUCCAUGGGAUGCUAAAACGAGAGCCUUCCCGGGGCUGUGAGUCAUCCGCAGUGUGAGUUACUCGUUCUGCUUUGCCGAGAGCAGGAGGGAUCCGAGCGGGGCCACGCUUACUCACGGCUGCUCCUCCAUCACAGCCAACUCGGGGCAAUGCAGGCAGCACAGAUGCGGAGAGAGCGGCUGCACUGUGAAUUAUUGAUAAGGGGAUAACAGCGCUGGGAGAUAAUCUCUCUGGUGGAGUGCGGAGAGUAAAUCUCUGCUGCACAGGGAGUGAGUGUCCCCGUUAGGAGAGCUUCUCCCAGGCAGGGAAUAGCAGCAGCGGGAGGUUUUGCUUGAGUGCAGAGCACGGAAACAGGCUCCAUGCAGCAUUUCAGGGAAGAAGUUUGGCUCGGAGAGAGACAGUUGUAUCCUCAGACCUUGCUCCUCCUUUGGGAAUGUCAAAAUAUGUAGCUGAGAGCUGCAGGUCUGCCAGGAGAAGGUCACUGAGUCACUGCAAAUGGAGUUGGCGCCCCAUUACCACCAGCUCACCUUUCUCCACGUGGACAGACGGGGGUGACCGCUCUUGCCCAACCCAAAAUGGGUGAGCAGAGAUUCCCGUAUUCAUAGACUCACAGAAUCACAGAAUGGUUUGAGAUGGAAGGAAGCUCUAAAGGGACCAUCUGGUCCCACUCCCAUGGCUCCAUCAGGUGCUCAGCCUGACCUUGGCUGUCUGUGGGGACAGGAGCAUCCUAACCCCAUGGAUGCCGUGCCAGCCUGGCCCCAGGGCUCCCGUCACAAACACACCUGCUGCUCCAGCUGCUGAGUGCCAGGGGCCAUGUCUCAGUUACUCUGCAUGGCACAGGGCAGGAAGCACACAGGCAGGGUAGGGCUGGGUGAAUGCCCUGGUGAAAGCACCAUCUGUGACACACACCCCGCGUGUACCAACGUGAUGCAGUCUGCUGCCCCAGACUUGCUUUGCUGGUUGGCCAUCUGCUUUCUGCAGGAUAGGUUUGCACCAUCUGUAGCCCCAUAAAUUUCACAGAGCAGUGGAUGUCAGUGCUGGAGCUUAAUUUCCCCCCAUAUCAUAGAAUCACAGAAUGGCCUGGGUUGGAAG
ensembl:lncRNA